UACGUAGGGUGCAAGCGUUAAUCGGAAUUACUGGGCGUAAAGCGUGCGCAGGCGGUGAUGUAAGACAGGUGUGAAAUCCCCGGGCUUAACCUGGGAACUGCAUUUGUGACUGCAUCGCUGGAGUGCGGCAGAGGGGGAUGGAAUUCCGCGUGUAGCAGUGAAAUGCGUAGAUAUGCGGAGGAACACCGAUGGCGAAGGCAAUCCCCUGGACCUGUACUGACGGCUCAUGCACGAAAGCGUGGGGAGCAAACGAGGAUACGAA
rnacentral:rRNA from 1 species